rnacentral:lncRNA from 7 species
GCCCUAUGUUUCUGUCUCUGUGGAGGUUCUUUCCGUUCUUUCCGUUCUUUCGUUGUUGUUUUUGAACUGUCACCUAAUUUUCUGCCCUAUGUUUCUGUCUCUGUGGAGGUUCUUUCCGUUCUUUCCGUUCUUUCUUUGUUGUUUUUGAACUGUCACCUAAUUUUCUGCCCUAUGUUUCUGUCUCUGUGGAGGUUCUUUCCGUUCUUUCCGUUCUUUCCGUUCUUUCGUUGUUGUUUUGAACUGUCACCUAAUUUUCUGCCCUAUGUUUCUGUCUCUGUGGAGGUUCUUUCCGUUCUUUCCGUUCUUUCCGUUGUUGUUUUUGAACUGUCACCUAAUUUUCUGCCCUAUGUUUCUGUCUCUGUGGAGGUUCUUUCCUUCUUUCCGUUCGUUUCGUUUUUCCGUUCUUUCCGUUCUUUCCGUUCUUUCUUUGUUGUUUUUGACUGUCACCUAAUUUUCUGCCUAUGUUUCUGUCUCUGUGGAGGUUCUUUCCGUUCUUUCCGUUCUUUUGUUGUUUUUGAACUGUCACCUAAUUUUCUGCCCUAUGUUUCUGUCUCUGUGGAGGUUCUUUCCGUUCUUUCCGUUCUUUCCGUUCUUUCCGUUCUUUCCGUUGUUGUUUUUGAACUGUCACCUAAUUUUCUGCCUAUGUUUCUGUCUCUGUGGAGGUUCUUUCCGUUCUUUCCGUUCUUUCGUUGUUGUUUUUGAACUGUCACCUAAUUUUCUGCCCUAUGUUUCUGUCUCUGUGGAGGUUCUUUCCGUUCUUUCCGUUCUUUCCGUUCUUUUUGUUGUUUUUGAACUGUCACCUAAUUUUCUGCCCUAUGUUUCUGUCUCUGUGGAGGUUCUUUCCGUUCUUUCCGUUCUUUCCGUUCUUUUGUUGUUUUUGAACUGUCACCUAAUUUUCUGCCCUAUGUUUCUGUCUCUGUGGAGGUUCUUUCCGUUCUUUCCGUUCUUUUUUUUUUUUUUUUUUUUCUGUUUUUUUUUUUGUUCUUUCCGUUCUUUCCGUUCUUUCUUGUUGUUUUUGAACUGUCACCUAAUUUUCUGCCCUAUGUUUCUGUCUCUGUGGAGGUUCUUUCCGUUCUUUCCGUUCUUUCUGUUUGUUUUUGACUGUCACCUAAUUUUCUGCCCUAUGUUUCUGUCUCUGUGGAGGUUCUUUCCGUUCUUUCCGUUUUUGUUGUUUUUGAACUGUCACCUAAUUUUCUGCCCUAUGUUUCUGUCUCUGUGGAGGUUCUUUCCGUUCUUUCCGUUCUUUCGUUUUUUUUUUUUUUUUUUUUUUUUUUUUUUUUUUUUUUUCUUUUUUUUUUGACUGUCACCUAAUUUUCUGCCCUAUGUUUCUGUCUCUGUGGAGGUUCUUUCCGUUCUUUCCGUUUUUCUUCUUUCCGUUCUUUCGUUGUUGUUUUUGACUGUCACCUAAUUUUCUGCCUAUGUUUCUGUCUCUGUGGAGGUUCUUUCCGUUCUUUCCGUUCUUUCGUUUUGUUUUUGAACUGUCACCUAAUUUUCUGCCCUAUGUUUCUGUCUCUGUGGAGGUUCUUUCCGUUCUUUCCGUUCUUUCCGUUCUUUCCGUUGUUGUUUUUGAACUGUCACCUAAUUUUCUGCCCUAUGUUUCUGUCUCUGUGGAGGUUCUUUCCGUUCUUUCCGUUCUUUCCGUUCUUUCCGUUGUUGUUUUUGAACUGUCACCUAAUUUUCUGCCCUAUGUUUCUGUCUCUGUGGAGGUUCUUUCCGUUCUUUCCGUUCUUUCCGUUUUUGUUGUUUUUUGAACU